rnacentral:RNase_P_RNA from 1 species
UUGGAAAGGUGGGCUAUCGCUGCUUUUUUUUAAAAAAAGGAGAGGAAAGUCCGGACUUCACAGAAGCAGAUACCAGGUAAUCACUGGGGGCCGCAAGGCUACGGAAAGUGUAACAGAAAAUACAUCGCCUAUAUUUGCGUAUAGGACAGACUGAAAAUGUUGGCAUAAGGUGUCAACCGCACUCAAGGAAACUUGGGGCGUUAUAAACCCUAUCUGAAGCAAGGUCGAAUAUGGGUGCGAGCUUCGCGCAAGACCCUAAGCUGGCUGCUCGAGGAACCUGGCGACAGGUUCCCUAGAUGAAUGAUAGCCAUUUGCAAUCUUGCAAAUCACAGAAUCCGGCUUAAAGCCUUUCCAAUUUU